rnacentral:tRNA from 1 species
AAUAGAGUGCCUGAAUAAAUAGGAUCGUCUUGAUGUGACGAACAUGGUUUUACACCCUUUAUUU